rnacentral:rRNA from 1 species
UACGUAGGUGGCAAGCGUUGUCCGGAUUUACUGGGCGUAAAGAGCGCGCAGGCGGUCGUUCAAGUCGCGUGUGAAAGCCCCCGGCUCAACUGGGGAGGGUCACGCGAUACUGAUCGACUCGAAGGCAGGAGAGGGUAGUGGAAUUCCCGGUGUAGUGGUGAAAUGCGUAGAUAUCGUAAGGAAGACCAGUGGCGAAGGCGAGUCUCUGGACAGUUACCGACGCUGAGGCACGAAGGUCAGGGGAGCAAACGGG